GUUCUUUUAUGUAAUCUACUAAUAAAUGUGAACUUUUAUUUAACUUUUAGAUAACUUUGGCGCAAAAAGGUAUGUAACUAUACAACAUAAUUCCAAUUGUACAGUACAUGCAUGUGUAUAUAUGUAGAUUUUUACCUCAAAAGGCUGCGACACAAGAUUAAACAGGCUGUAUUGGAAACCUUUUGAGAUAAAUAUCUAGAUAUAUCUGCUCUAUUUGUACGAUAUCAAGCACUCUUUGGCAUUUCGUGAACCUAAACUCGCAUAUAACACUAUAAUUAAUCUAAAAUUGUUUUAAUGUUUGCUUAAAGUUGACUAUGAAUUUAUACUGGAUAGCUCUGACAAGAUCUGAAAACGUCGAAAUUAGUACUGCAUGUUAAUCCUCUAAUAUAUAGGUCCAGCAAAGGCCAGCAUAUUGGUCGAUUUGAUCCUGAAAACAGAUGCAUAUUGCAGGAUUGGAACCACUGUCCCUGGGAAAUGAAAGGAACUACACAACACAUCUUGUAGCAAGUCUGCCAACAAGCCGUCAACAAAAUGUGUCCACACUGCUUAUUCCAAGUUGUCAACAGGUUUGGAACAAGCUGCUAACAACUUGUAACAACCUUGUUAAUAUUAUCAGACUUGUUGCAAGGUUGUUCCAACAACUCCGAUACAGUCAUGAUAUAGCAAUAUUGUUACAAGUUGCAACAUACUUGUUAUAUCAUGACUGUAUUAGACUUGUUAGAACAAUCUUGUAAC